GAGGAAUAUUGGUCAAUGGGCGAGAGCCUGAACCAGCCAAGUAGCGUGCAGGAUGACGGCCCUAUGGGUUGUAAACUGCUUUUAUAAGGGAAUAAAGUGAGUCUCGUGAGGCUUUUUGCAUGUACCUUAUGAAUAAGGACCGGCUAAUUCCGUGCCAGCAGCCGCGGUAAUACGGAAGGUCCGGGCGUUAUCCGGAUUUAUUAGGCUUAAAGGGAGCGUAGGCCGGAGAUUAAGCGUGUUGUGAAAUGUAGACGCUCAACGUCUGCACUGCAGCGCGAACUGGUUUCCUUGAGUACCCACAAAGUGGGCGGAACUCGUGGUGUAGCGGUGAAAUGCUUAGAUAUCACGAAGAACUCCGAUUGCGAAGGCAGCUCACUGGAGCGCAACUGACGCUGAAGCUCGAAAGUGCGGGUAUCGAAC
rnacentral:rRNA from 1 species